AACGAACGCUGGCGGCGUGCCUAACACAUGCAAGUCGAGCGGGAAAAUUCCCUUCGGGGAGUGAGUACAGCGGCGAACGGGUGAGUAACACGUAGGUAACCUACCCUGGAGACUGGGAUAACCUGCCGAAAGGCGGGCUAAUACUAGAUAAGACCACGAGAGCCACGGCUCUUGAGGUAAAAGGUGGCCUCUACUUGUACGCUACCACUCUGGGAUGGGCCUGCGCGCCAUUAGCUAGUUGGUGAGGUAACGGCUCACCAAGGCUGAGAUGGCUAGCUGGUCUGAGAGGAUGGCCAGCCACACUGGGACUGAGACACGGCCCAG
rnacentral:rRNA from 1 species